rnacentral:rRNA from 1 species
GACGAACGCUGGCGGCGUGCCUAAUACAUGCAAGUAGAACGCUGAAGGAGGAGCUUGCUUCUCUGGAUGAGUUGCGAACGGGUGAGUAACGCGUAGGUAACCUGCCUGGUAGCGGGGGAUAACUAUUGGAAACGAUAGCUAAUACCGCAUAAUAUUGACUAUUGCAUGAUAGUCAGUUGAAAGGUGCAACUGCACCACUACCAGAUGGACCUGCGUUGUAUUAGCUAGUUGGUGGGGUAACGGCUCACCAAGGCGACGAUACAUAGCCGACCUGAGAGGGUGAUCGGCCACACUGGGACUGAGACACGGCCCAGACUCCUACGGGAGGCAGCAGUAGGGAAUCUUCGGCAAUGGACGGAAGUCUGACCGAGCAACGCCGCGUGAGUGAAGAAGGUUUUCGGAUCGUAAAGCUCUGUUGUAAGAGAAGAACGAGUGUGAGAGUGGAAAGCUCACACUGUGACGGUAUCUUACCGGAAAGGGACGGCUAACUACGUG